rnacentral:lncRNA from 1 species
GAUUUAAGACAAAGCCUUAUUUGAUCCAAAAAAGGGUUGGAAAGGUUCUAAAGAAGGAGAAUUAGAAGUUUAGAGGAGGUUCUAAGAGGGUCGAGUUAGGUUCUUGAAGAAAUCUGACUGAUACAGAGCUAGUCGAGUUCUAGAGGCUAGAACUCUUGAAGCAAGGUGAAAAAGGAGUACUGUCUUUGAUUCAAUCUCUAUGUGAAUCAUCGUUGGAGGGUGGAUACUUAGAUGUCUCAUAAA